rnacentral:rRNA from 1 species
GAUGAACGCUAGCGGGAGGCCUAACACAUGCAAGCCGAGCGGUAUUGUUUCUUCGGAAAUGAGAGAGCGGCGUACGGGUGCGUAACACGUGUGCAACCUGCCUUUAUCUGGGGGAUAGCCUUUCGAAAGGAAGAUUAAUACUCCAUAAUAUAUUGAACGGCAUCGUUUAAUAUUGAAAGCUCCGGCGGAUAGAGAUGGGCAAGCGCAAGAUAGCUAGUUGGUGAGGUAACGGCUCACCAAGGCGAUGAUCUUUAGGGGGCCUGAGAGGGUUAUCCCCCACACUGGUACGGAGACACGGACCAGACUCCUACGGGAGGCAGCAUUGAGGAAUAUUGGUCAAUGGGUGCAAGCCUGAACCAGCCAUCCCGCGUGAAGGACGACUGCCCUAUGGGCUGUAAACUUCUUUUGUAUAGGGAUAAACCUACCCUCGUGAGGGUAGCUGAAGGUACUAUACGAAUAAGCACCGGCUAACUCCGUGCCAGCCGCCGCCGUAA